UACGUAGGGUCCGAGCGUUGUCCGGAAUUAUUGGGCGUAAAGAGCUCGUAGGCGGUUUGUCGCGUCUGCUGUGAAAUCCCGAGGCUCAACCUCGGGCCUGCAGUGGGUACGGGCAGACUGGAGUGCGGUAGGGGAGAAUGGAAUUCCUGGUGUAGCGGUGAAAUGCGCAGAUAUCAGGAAGAACACCCGUGGCGAAAGCGGCUCUCUGGGACGGUACUGACGCUGAGACGCGAAAGCGUGGGGAGCAAACAGG
rnacentral:rRNA from 1 species